rnacentral:rRNA from 1 species
CCUGCCCUAUGAAGAAUUUAAAUGGCCGCAGUAUUCUGACUGUGCAAAGGUAGCAUAAUCAUUUGUUUUUUAAUUGAAAACUGGCAUGAAAGGGGGGACGAAAUAUAAUCUUUUAUUUUUAAAAAGUAAAAUUGACAUAAGGGUCAAAAGGCCCUUAUACACCAGGGGGACGAUAAGACCCUAUAAAACUUAACUUUAAGGCUGGAGAUAAAAUAGAUAGUGCCUCUAUCCUAGAGUUGGGCUGGGGCGGCAUGAAUAUAAACUACUAUAUAUAUAAUAUAUAUUUAUAAAGGAUAAGAGCUUAGAAAAAAAUUAGAGCAAGUUACUUUAGGGAUAACAGUAUAAUUCCUUUAGAGAGUUCUUAUUGACAGGGGAGUUUAUAACCUCGAUGUUGAAUUGGAARACCUUAUGUGGGCAGCGGCAUAUAAAGGCAGUCUGUUCRACUGUUAAAUUUUC